CCUACGGGAGGCAGCAGUGGGGAAUUUUGGACAAUGGGCGCAAGCCUGAUCCAGCAAUGCCGCGAGCAGGAUGAAGGCCUUCGGGUUGUAAACUGCUUUUGUACGGAGCGAAAAGCCCCUGGCGAAUAACCGGGGGUCAUGACGGUACCGUAAGAAUAAGCACCGGCUAACUACGUGCCAGCAGCCGCGGUAAUA
rnacentral:rRNA from 1 species